AUUGAACGCUGGCGGCAGGCCUAACACAUGCAAGUCGAGCGAGCGGCGGACGGGUGAGUAAUGUCUGGGGAACUGCCCGAUUGAGGGGGAUAACUACUGGAAACGGUGGCUAAUACCGCAUACCAUCGGAUGAACCCAGAUUGGAUUAGCUAGUAGGGGGGGUAAGGGCUCACCUGGGCGACGAUCGCUAGCUGGUCUGAGAGGAUGACCAUCCAAACUGGGACAGAGACACGGGAUAGACUCCUACGUGAGGUAGCAGUGGGGAAUGUUGCACAAUGGGCGCAAGCCGGAUGCAGCCAUGCCGCGUGUAUGAAGAAGGCCUUAGGGUUGGAAAGUACUUUCAGCGGGGAGGCGUUACCCGCAGAAGAAGCACCGGCUAACUCCGUGCCAGCAGCCGCGGUAAUAC
rnacentral:rRNA from 1 species